rnacentral:rRNA from 1 species
GAUGAACGCUAGCGGCAGGCUUAACACAUGCAAGUCGAGGGGUAACAGGGUAGCUUGCUAUUGCUGACGACCGGCGCACGGGUGCGUAACGCGUAUAGAACCUACCUUCAACAAAGGGAUAGCCCAGAGAAAUUUGGAUUAAUACCUUAUAGUAUUACAAUUCUUCAUGGUUUUGUAAUUAAAGAUUUAUCGGUUGAAGAUGGCUAUGCGUCAUAUUAGCUAGUUGGUAAGGUAACGGCUUACCAAGGCUACGAUAUGUAGGGGUCCUGAGAGGGAGAUCCCCCACACUGGUACUGAGACACGGACCAGACUCCUACGGGAGGCAGCAGUGAGGAAUAUUGGACAAUGGAGGCAACUCUGAUCCAGCCAUGCCGCGUGUAGGAAGACUGCCCUAUGGGUUGUAAACUACUUUUGUAUAGGAAGAAUUGAUAAUACGUGUAUUAUUUUGACGGUACUAUAAGAAUAAGGAUCGGCUAACUCCG